rnacentral:rRNA from 1 species
GACGAACGCUGGCGGCGUGCCUAAUACAUGCAAGUAGAACGCUGAAGCUUGGUGCUUGCACCGAGCGGAUGAGUUGCGAACGGGUGAGUAACGCGUAGGUAACCUGCCUGGUAGCGGGGGAUAACUAUUGGAAACGAUAGCUAAUACCGCAUAAUAGUAGAUGUUGCAUGACAUUUGCUUAAAGGGUGCAAUUGCAUCACUNCCAGAUGGCCCUGCGUUGUAUUAGCUAGUUGGUGAGGUAACGGCUCACCAAGGCAACGAUACAUAGCCGACCUGAGAGGGUGAUCGGCCACACUGGGACUGAGACACGGCCCAGACUCCUACGGGAGGCAGCAGUAGGGAAUCUUCGGCAAUGGACGGAAGUCUGACCGAGCAACGCCGCGUGAGUGAAGAAGGUUUUCGGAUCGUAAAGCUCUGUUGUAAGAGAAGAACGAGUGUGAGAGUGGAAAGUUCACACUGUGACGGUAUCUUACCAGAAAGGGACGGCUAACUACGUGCCAGCAGCCGCGGUAAUACGUAGGUCCCGAGCGUUGUCCGGAUUUAUUGGGCGUAAAGCGAGCGCAGGCGGUUAGAUAAGUCUGAAGUUAAAGGCUGUGGCUUAACCAUAGUACGCUUUGGAAACUGUUUAACUUGAGUGCAAGAGGGGAGAGUGGAAUUCCAUGUGUAGCGGUGAAAUGCGUAGAUAUAUGGAGGAACACCGGUGGCGAAAGCGGCUCUCUGGCUUGUAACUGACGCUGAGGCUCGAAAGCGUGGGGAGCAAACAGG